rnacentral:misc_RNA from 1 species
GAUGAAGAACGUAGCGAAAUGCGAUAACUAAUGUGAAUUGCAGAAUUCAGUGAAUCAUCGAGUCUUUGAACGCACAUUGCGCCCCCUGGUAUUCCGGGGGGCAUGCCUGUCCGAGCGUCAUUGCUGCCCUCAAGCACGGCUUGUGUGUUGGGCUCCGUCCCCCGGGGACGGGCCCGAAAGGCAGCGGCGGCACCGAGUCCGGUCCUCGAGCGUAUGGGGCUUUGUCACCCGCUCUGUAGGCCCGGCCGGCGCCAGCCGACAACCCAUCAUCCUUUUCAGGUUGACCUCGGAUCAGGUAGGGAUACCCGCUGAACUUAAGCAUAUCAAUAAGCGGAGGA